ensembl:rRNA 5S_rRNA 5S ribosomal RNA
AUCUACCACCAUACCACCCUGAACGCACCUGAUCUCAGAAGCUAAGUGGGGUCAGGCCUGGUUAGUACUUGAAUGGGAGACCCUCUGGAAAUACCAGGUGCUGUAGGCU